rnacentral:rRNA from 1 species
UACAGAGGUCUCAAGCGUUGUUCGGAUUCAUUGGGCGUAAAGGGUGUGUAGGUGGCGCCGUAAGUCGGGUGUGAAAUUUCGGAGCUUAACUCCGAAACUGCAUACGAUACUGCGGUGCUUGAGGACUGGAGAGGAGACUGGAAUUCAUGGUGUAGCAGUGAAAUGCGUAGAGAUCAUGAGGAAGACCAGUGGCGAAGGCGGGUCUCUGGACAGUUCCUGACACUGAGACACGAAGGCCAGGGGAGCAAACGGG